rnacentral:rRNA from 1 species
UACGGAGGGUGCGAGCGUUGUCCGGAAUCACUGGGCGUAAAGGGCGCGUAGGCGGUCCGGUAAGCGUGUGGUGAAAGCCCGGGGCUCGACCCCGGGUCGGCCGUGCGAACUGCGGGACUGGAGCACUGUAGAGGCAGGCGGAAUUCCGGGUGUAGCGGUGGAAUGCGUAGAGAUCGGGAGGAACACCAGUGGCGAAGGCGGCCUUCUGGACCAAUACUGACGCUCAUGCACGAAAGCGUGGGGAGCAAACAGG